GUCCGGCCUUUCUCAUCGCUUCCCCGAAGAAAAAAAAAACUGGCUUUGUUCCUCUCUCUGCCCCGUCGUCGAGAUCUCAUUCUCGUGCCGAUCUCCAUCUCCCACAUUCUCAUGCCACUCGAGCUGCCCGAUUCACCAUCCCCGCUGCUGCAGAGAAACAAGCAGCCGGCGGAGCAGAUGAGCGAGACGAGUGCUGCCUCGCACCGGCCGAGCAAGCCGUCGCCACCUCCCCACGCUCCGAGACGCUUAGCUCCGAUUCCGACCACUCCCCUCGCGUCCGUGGCUCUGCUCUUGCUCGCCGCUGCCGCCGUGUUCCUCUACUCCCAGUCCCAGACCACCGCCCUCUCGUACGAGUCCCGCGGAGAGGUACGGCCCGUCUCCUCCCCGACGGUGGAGACCAUCGACGGCGCGCGCGCCAUCUGGGAGCUCCCCGCGGCCGCGCCGGCCAGGGCGGUCCUCUUCGUCGCCCACGGCUGCCGCUGCCGACCGGAGAAUUUCUGGCCGCCGUCCCCGCGCUGCCCGGCGUGCGUUGGCCUGCCGGAGGACGUCGCCAUCACGGACCUCGCGCUGCGGAGGCGGUUCGCGGUACUGGCCGUUGCUAGCGCCGGGGAGUGCUGGUCGCUGGGAAAGGAGGUCAACGGCGCCAAGCGGGUGAUCCGGUCCUGGGCCGCGAAGAACGGACUCGAAGGCCUGCCCGUGGCCGCCCUCGGCGCUUCCUCUGGCGGGUACUUCGUCUCCAGGCUCGCGGCCAAGAUGAGCCUCGCCGCCGUCGUGAUUAUGAUCGCCGAGGGCGCGUUCGGCAGGACAGCUGGCGCGCCGCCGGCGGUAUACCCGCCCACGAUGUUCGUCCACAUGCCGAAAGACACGCGGAGGGCGGCGCUGUUGGAGAGGAAUUCGAAGAUGCUGAUGCGGAAUGGCGUCGAGGUGAAGGAGCUCGAGAGCCUUGAGCUCCCUUUGACGCCGACGCUGCUGUCGGAGAGGAUACCUGGGGUGGACCGCGAGCUGUCAGAAAGGAUCUGGAAAGUGUUCAGGGAGGAAGGAUUCAUUGAUGAGAAAGAGUAUAUGAAGGAGGAUGGCCGGGCUACGCCAUGGAAGGAUGCAUUGGUGAAAAGAGGGUUCUGGAAGGAGGUGUCUCCGUGGGCAGACCACAUCCAGGAGGAGCUGAAUCUUGCUUAUGGGUACCACGAGAUGACGAGCUUACAUGCUGACGAGAUGUUCGAUUGGAUUGAGAAACAUUUGACAUGAAGAGACUAUGGUUGAUCAUUUCAGCAUUGUGCGGCUUAGCACGAAACUAAACGUGUUGGAGGAUUGAAAGGGAAGCUGCACUGCAGCUCAGGAGUUAAUGGGUCACGAAUUGGUGAACAGAGAAGAUGCACGCAAGACAUUGGUUCUAAAUUUCUGAUAGACUGACCUGAUGAUGUGAAAUAUCAAAUAUGUGCAUUGCUUACAGCUGGCUCUUGUGCAACGAAUGGGUGAAGAGAAGCAUACACAGAGAUAGUUCAAGCCUCCUCUGUCUUUCCGAAAGACAGUUGCAAGUUGGGUUAAAACUUUUGUGCAAUGCUGCCGUUAAAGUUUGGCGAACUAUGGCCUCUAUACAGGUAGGAGGUCAAGAUGUAUACUAAUGCAGGGAAGAAUCUCUAUAAUCUGUUUAUGAAGGGUUGUUUUGCUUUCUCGUUUCCAAAGUUGUAUAAGUUCACUCUUGUGGAGCUGAACUGAAACAGUUGUAUAUUCUGGUUAUGUAGUAAAUGUCAAAGACUCCAAGUUCCGGAAUGAUAGCUUAUAUAAUCGUACUGUGCAAACAUCAAAUAUUUAAACUAUCUCCU